GGAGGAGGAGGAGGAGAAGAAGAAGAGCAUGGGAUCUUGAGAGUUUCGAUCGGUAGGAGUACUUCUAGCUAUAACUAUAUGCUGUAGAGGUUAACGAGUCUUGUCGUCCGUCUCGUCGGUGGCGAUCGAUCGAGCCUGAGCUAGCGUGUUAGGGCCGGGUCGUCGCCACCCACUGUCAGGUCGAUCAAGUAGUGGCUAGAACCGGUGUAGCUGGCUGCACCUCUCGAUCGACGGGAGAGAAAGAAGUUUUCAAGUCUUUCUACG
rnacentral:lncRNA from 1 species